GAUGAACGCUGGCGGCGUGCCUAAUACAUGCAAGUCGAGCGAACGGACGAGGAGCUUGCUUGUCUGAUGUUAGCGGCGGACGGGUGAGUAACACGUGGAUAACCUACCUAUAAGACUGGGAUAACUUCGGGAAACCGGAGCUAAUACCGGAUAAUAUUUUGAACCGCAUGGUUCAAAAGUGAAAGACGGUCUUGCUGUCACUUAUAGAUGGAUCCGCGCUGCAUUAGCUAGUUGGUAAGGUAACGGCUUACCAAGGCAGCGAUGCAUAGCCGACCUGAGAGGGUGAUCGGCGACACUGGAACUGGGACACGGUCCAGACUCCUACGGGAGGCAGCAGUCGGGAAUCUUCCGCAGUGGGCGAAAGCCUGACGGAGCAACGCCGCGUGAGUGAUGAAGGUCUUCCGAUCGUAAAACUCUGUUAUUAGGGAAGAACAUAUGUGUAAGUAACUGUGCACAUCUUGACGGUACCUAAUCAGAAAGCCACGGCUAACUACGUG
rnacentral:rRNA from 1 species